GGGUCGGGGGGAGAGCACUAACAGGUGAACAGCAAGCUGCUGACCCUGAGAAGCGAAACAGGACCUGGGCAACAUGCACACGCCUCUCUCCGGGACUCACUCCCUUUCCUCUUCCCAGUAACCUGGGGUACACAUUUCUGAUGCCUGGAAAGUACACAGGACUGAUAACUGAUAUGCCCCAUGCCCUCUUCCUCUCCCCUGUCAUGUAUUCAAUUUGGUGAGGAAGGUCAAAAGACUAGGCUGAAGUGGGCAGGAGGAAGCUAUGCGGGCGGGGAUGUGGAACACCCUGCAGUCAGCUCCCUGGUGCUGACUUGUUGGUAGGAGGUGUCUGUAAGCCUAGCAAGGAGUGACAGCAAUGCCAUCAUGCAGCUUCCAGUCACCUCCUUGUGGGCUGGCCAGGAAGAGGCAGAAGCUAGUUCCGCCCAAGCCAGAAUAAUCUGCUGCACAUCCUGUCCCCAGCCCUCUGCGGCAUUCUCAUCUGCCACCCACGGGGAGCAAAUGAGACACACACACACACACACACACCAUGGGAAUUCCAA
rnacentral:lncRNA from 1 species